rnacentral:lncRNA from 1 species
AAGUAUUUGGACAAUAGCGAUUCGUACAACUUCUCUUAAUCGGAGUAUAGAAAAUUGCAGGUGGCUGUUUCCGGCCCCAAACAACAUUGCUCUGAACCGGAGAGCGAGAGCACCACCUUCUCUAUCAUUCCCAGUUUUUCUAGAAGUCGGCGUCUCCAGAAUUUUCAGAAGAAAAAUCAACUGUCAAGUGAGCAAGUUGAAGAGAGGCUCCAGUUCACUUCUCCAAGUGGCCACUCUGGAAUUGCCUUGAGACAAGAUCAGUCAAUGCCAGCUGUUAUGAAAUGUCAUCUGGAAAAUUAAGUAUGGAGACUUCCUCCAAGCAAGUGCUCUUUUUGGGCCCGUUUAGUUCGGCUUUGGGUAAAAAAGGCAUUGGAAAAAUGCAAAUACUUUUACUAUCAAAAAAGCUAUACCAUUUGAUAAAUUAUAACUUUAAAUAGCAUUGGAAAAUAGCCUUGACAUAAACAUCGUUUGGUAAAACCCACAUUUAAAAUGGGCUUUUGCUAUAUUUCUUUUCUUCUUUUUUUUAUAAAAAUCUGAAAAUUAAAUCAGGUUAGGGUCAGACGUCGAACCGCCACUAGACAUAAACACCGUUUGGUAAAAUCCACAUUUAAAAUGGGCUUUUGCUAUAUUUCUUUUUUUUUAAUCUAAAAAUUAAAUCUGGUUACGUCUAACCACCUCCGGCGGCUAGAUUUGGCCAUCCGAUUGCUAGGUCCAAUCAUCCAACUGCUAGAACUAGCGGCUUGAGGUUGCAUGAACCUCAGGCAAGGUGGCCUGAGGUCGCACGACCUCAGGUGUGGCUUGGAUCGCGACCUCAGGCCCACGACCUAGGCAAUGCCGCUUGAAGUCUAGCACUUAGGCAGUCGCCCGAGUCAUGGGUCGUGCCACUUAGGCGGUGGUUGCUGGGGACGCACGACCCCAUACGGCAAUGACGGUCGCUAGAGAAGCCCAACUCAGGCGACAGAUUGAGAAGACAAACGGCUAUGAUAAAUGAGAAAGAAGAUGAACAAUAACGGGUAAACAAUAAAUUUAGCAUUUUCGAAAUGCUGAAAGCCCAAAAUAGGUCCCUAUCUACAUUGGGCUUUCAGCAUUUGGAGCUAGCAUUUGGCCAAAGAAGUCUCAAAAAUACUUGCCAAACGCUUUGUAUUUUUCCCAAUGAGCUUUGGAGGCCCAAAGCCCCUUGCAAAUGCUCAACCGAACAAGGCCUUUGUGCAGGUGUGUGGAAAAGCAAGAGUAAGGCAAACAUUUGGUGAGAGUACUGUGUGAGAGUGAGUCUCCAAAUGUUGAAAAGGACGACUCCUCCGUGUGGAGUCCACAAAUAAUACAUUGCGUGAGUAGUGUCAGUUCUUAUAAUAAUAAAAGAGUGUUCAUUUGAAUUAUCCAAUUGAGUCCAACAAGCAGUACCAAAGCAAGUGGUCGAGGACCAACAACCCAAGAAUCGGAGCGUGGUACGCGAACAGCGUGGUCAAAGAACAUUGUAUGUAAAUACUGGCUUACUGCCAUAUUUUGUUGCAACACCGAUGCACUCUCUAACCUUUGCAACUUGGUAUCGUUAGAACUGCCAAGCUAUCCCAUGCCUCCUUUGGGGUCUUUGCAUUCUUGAUGUGCUGUAACAACUCAUCUUCAAUAGUCACAACAAAAACAUAUAGAGUCUCAUCCACUUUGAUGUUCCACUUUCUUAACUCGCAAUCAUUCGUAUCUGGUGGUAUUGUCGUCGUCAAUAAUAUUACAUAAGUCUUGACUCAGCAUAACUACCUACUCAUGUUCAAUGGUCAUUGACAUUGUCUUCGCACACGAUCAGGGACCGAAGUGAGGAGCAUAGUCCCAUGAGUUAAAGAGUUGUGGAACAUCAUUUGUGACGCCCCCAAUACGUCACAACUAAUAUGGAACUAAUAUGGCAGUUACCAUUUCCGUUUCGUUUUUUUUUUUUAAACAUGUAAGGGACUAAAUUAAUCAUAGGGUACACCUGACUUUUCGUAAAUAAGACAAUUUCAUUUCUUUUUUUUUUUAUAUAUGUACAUCAGAUGACAAGUGGGAUGCAUUGGGGGAAUUCAAAAGGUUAGUACUACUAACUACACUAUACGUCGAUCACCCAUUCCCACCUAGCUGCAUACAUGUUGCCUAACCCUGGCCCCUGACACCAUCAAAAUCCUCCCAACUCCAAAAAAAACCUGCCUCUCCUCUAUGUUACAGGGCUGCCUUCAUCUCUAGGCCCAUUGGAGAACAAUGGGAAUGGACCCACCAUGCGCCCAUUGACACGAGUGUACAUCCCGACGAACUUGGCGCACGGGCAUACAUCCCGAUGAACCAAGUCAAUAGGCGCAAGGUGGGUCCACUCCCACUAUUCUCCAACGUACAGCGUAGUCAGUAGUACUGACAUUUUGAAUUUCCCGGUGCACCCCACUUGUUGUCCGAUGUACAUAUAUAAAUAAAUAAGAAAUGAAGUUGCCCUAUUUACAAAAAAAAAUUGCAUAUACCCCAUGAUUAAUUCAGUCCCUUAUGCUUCGGCAUGUUUAAGAAAAAAUGAAACAUAAAAGGUAACUACAAUAGUGGUUUUACAUUAGCUGUGACAUACCGAGGCAUCACAGCUCAAAUGGUAUGAGAACCACCUGUGGGUUAUGGCCCCACCACAUUUCCGUUGCGCUUUUCUAAUCAUGCGAGAUUUGAUUCGAAUAAAAACAAUAUCCGAAAAAUCAAGGUCUACGAACUUGUCAUCUUCUCAUGUGAAGUCUAUUAGCACUUUGUAACGGACCAUCAGGGAGGUUGGUGGGAUCGAAAUUCUAUUAAUAUGAAAAGAUGAAGUCAACAAUCAAUGAGUCACAACCUAGCAGGCAGAAGGUCCACUGGUCUAUACUAUACAAAUCGAUCACCAUACUAACAAAGAAAGGCUCAACAAAGAGUUCAUUAAAUUGCAUGCAUAUCAACUUACCUGAGAACCUUUUCAAAAUACAUUAUAGACCCAUAGUGGUAAUAACUUUUUCCAACAGAUAGCCAGUUCAAGUCAAAAAUACCAAAUUCAUAAUCAAUAUAAAUUCAUGCUGCCAUCAUCAUUCGGGGGAAUCCCAUUACCUCCUGAGCAUCUUGCACCCAUUCGGCAUCGCGAGGGCAUCUAGAGGAACCACAUUACACCCCCCACGCAUUUGGGGGAACUUAGUUACCCCUUUAGGCAUUUCUACUAUAACCCGAGGCAUCGUUGUCCCAAGGACCGACAACAUUUUCAGUCACACAUUUACACCAUAAUGCAACAAUUCUAUAAUUCAAUUAAAAGUAUGUUAACGUCACUACUAUUUAGGAAUUCAAGCAUGCAUCUAAUGAAUCAUCAAUCGUUUUCAUCCCCAAGACUAAUAUAAACUCAUCCGUACAGAGUUAAGUGAACGAUAAAGAAGUUCCUACAUCCUAGGCCUAACUAGCCUUAUAGGCAUCCCGCGUGCCUUUAGAUACAAUGGUUGUUGCCUACAUAAACUGUUUAAAAAAAUUAUGAAACUUUAAUAUGAGGUAGACAAGACCUUGAGGGACUUUUUUGUGAGGACUCGUAGUCCAAUUCAGCUCAUACGGUUCUAAAUAAUUUUUGCAAUCCGGGCCCAAAACAAUCAAAAUUUCCAGAACGAAAUUGAGUAGGAAGAUAAAUAUUUCACCCACCAAAUGAUACCUAAAAAUUAUGAAAAUUUAAUAUGCGGUAACCUAGGAUGUACUCUACAACUUUCAUGAAAGACACAUGUUAGAAUUAUGGACCGAAAAAUAUAUGAAAAAUGGAAAACGAAGAGAGGUUGGUGCAAUAAGUCCCAAAACAGAUUUUGAAUCCCAAAUUUUCCAAAUAUAUUUUUGCCGUAUCAAGUCCAAAAUUUGUGCAAUUAAAUUAUGUCGUAGAACAGCCAAUAAGGGUUGAUUUUUAUGAAGAAUUCCCCAUUGAAAUUUGUACCACAUAAGUUGGUACAAAAUUAGCAAAAUUCGCGGUCAGGCUAAAACCGAACCUGCCCUCAGUCCCAGCACGGAUUUAAUUCAGAAUUUCGACUAGCUCAGCCCCGCACGUGCUAAAUAUCGACCAACCAUGCUCCUACUACCCAACCACAAGUUCGAUCAUUUCGAACUCGAUGAUAUAUCUAGGUAACAUGAUCGAAACUUCCGUUUAAACGAAAAUCUAAAUGACGUUCAUGAAUUUUUUAGGAAAUUAUUUUUGUCGCACGACAAACCAUCAAUAUAGGAUAGAACAGAUCUACUUACCUCGGAUCCUUAUGUAUGGCGGUCGUGACUUGGCAAGACAGAGCUGAGGUUGACAGGAGUGGCGUGUGUGGCUGUGAUGGCGAGGGACGGUUUUCGCUAGGGGUGUCAAAAAAACCUGACUCGACCCGACCCGAACACGAAACAAGUAUUAUACUUGUUUCGUGUUCGGGUCAUGUUCGGAUAACAAAUAUAAAACAAACAAAACAAUGUGUUUCGGAUUGGGUCAGGGUUCGAACAUUGUUCGACCCGAAACACGUUAAUUCUAAAUUCCAAACACGCCAAAAACACAAACCCCAAACAGUCAAACACAAACACAUACCUCGUCGGCUCCGCCUUCUUCUCCGAUGAGUGCGCCUUCUCGUGGAGUCCGCUGCCGCCCUCCGAUUGACGCGCCUCCGCCUCGCCGUCGCCGUCGCCACCCCUCGCCGACGCCGGAACCCUAGCCGCCGCGUGCGGCCGACCAUCAUCGACGGCUCGGGGACUGGGUUCACUCGGCAAUCAUGGCGCUCGCUUCUUGCCUCGUUUCCAAGUUUAGAUGUAUAUUUGCUUUAGGCUUGAGCUAAGACACCGGAUAUACCGGUUGUUCCUUUUCUUUUCGAGCUGCGAGGGAGAUUGUUCUUUCGCGUUGUGUGCAGACUCUGUGUUUGCUUCAAUUCCUGAGUGAACUGCGGCGUACAGUUUUUGAGCGAUCGUGACACUUAAGUUAGCGGGUUCCCGUGUCGGCGUAUCUCACGAAGCUUGCUCGCAUCUCCAUGAAACCAUACUGAAGUGAGGAUCAUCCACGGGACAUGAUGGGUUCGGAGGUUGAAACGCUUGAGGAGAGAUUGAAGUCUUCCUUGGUCCAGCUCCAUGCGGAAGGUGCCAUUCUUGAAAGGAUGGUGUACAAAAACAAGAACCAGCAUAGGCGUUGCUCCUAUUUCCAUUAUCUUUUGAAGGUUCCUUUUCUCGCCCACCGUUUGACUGGUGUCAUGACUCAUGACCUACUUUUGAGCUUUUUAAAAUUAGUCAAAAAGGCAUUGGAAUCUGAGAGAUGUCUUAUUUGAAAAAAUGAGAGGGAAAGAUUGAAGUUUAGAUGAAUAGCCGAUGAAGGAUUCGUGGAUCUUAAGUGCUUACUGGUGGUUUUGUUUAUACAGCCUAAAAGUUUUAAACCAGUGCAAUCAGCAAAAGAUUGCGUCAUUUUUUUUUAGGUCGGGAAGCAGAAAUUGGAUUUGGCAAAAUUUUAUCCCUCUUUUGGAAAUGUAAAAAAUUUGGGGCCAGAGUGAUUAAGGUGAAAGCUAGCCCUCUCAACUGAUUGUUAUUAGUGUUCUUUCUGGCACCUUUUCUUUUUACCGUCGUAUGUAUGGCCUGGCCGAGGUUUUUCAUCCCAGCGAUUCCUGGGUUGGCAGGGAAGAGGUUCCUUUUGGGGCUCGUUCUAUUUCAACUCAAGUGGGUAAGAGUCAUGUUAUCUUAAUUUCUCGCGAAUUCAUCUUUUGAUGCUUUCUUAUUCAAGUUUCCUUCCAGUGAGCUGAGAAUUGACCAUUUGUAUUUGUGGAAAUACCUGAUCCUGUGUUUUUUCUCUGUGCAGUAAGGAACAAAUAGAAAAAAUGGGAGGUGAAAACCCAGAACCCGACCCGACCCGACCCUACCCGACCCGAAUUUUCAAUGCGAGUCUAAUGUGUUUCGUGUUCGGGUCGGGUUGGGUCGGGUAGCAUCAAAAUCCGACCCGACCUGACCCAUUUACACCCCUAGUUUUCGCUGCUGUGGUUGUGUUGCCGAGUGAGGUGAGGGACGGCUGAUUUUUUAGGAUGAAAGUGGAAGUAUGAGUGGUGUCUCGUUCUAUUUUCUCUUUGCUCUUUCACCGUCAGUGUAGUCUUCAUCCUGGGGCGGUAAUUUUUGACUCGGCUGUUUCAUUUCGUAAUUGAAGGUAGUUUUUUUUUUUUUUAUUGGUUGUUUUUUUAAACCUUGGAAAUUCCUAAAGUUGUUGGGAGUAUUUGGAUCAAAAUAAUUUAUUUACGAUGAGGUAGCGGCAGUGACUCAGUGAUGUAGAUGCGUCCUCGGAUGAGGUGGAAAUAGUGUCACUCGAUGAUAAUGCUAUGAGGAUGCGAACGGCAUAAUCUAGUGACGAGCUUGCUGAACAGCAUAAUCUAGCGACGAGCUUGCUAAUGUAGCGUGAACCGUCAAACAUUAGGGGCUCGCUAUUUUAUCAAGUGAAAAAAUCCGGAUCUCACAUCAUUGGUGGCGACAACACCAUGCCACCCACAAACAAUGGCAAAUUAAGGAAGUGGAGCAGUGAGGCUCUAUACAUUCUUGUUAUGUCUGUUGAAAAUGAGUUGUUUACAACACAUCAAGAGCUCAAGGUUGUGGCCACUCAGUUCUUGAGCUUACGAUGGCUAUGACUAUUUACUCAAAACUCAAGCAUAGUGACCAGGGCAUCCGUUGGAGCGGCCAUGACUACGCGCAAUGGAGUGGAUGAAAGGAAAAAAUGAACAUGAUGUGGAAUUUGAAUCAUUAAUGGGAUCAUUGGACAAAAUUUGAUGAGGUUAGAUUUGGGGGAAAUUAUGCAAAAAGUUCUAACACUUUAGUCAUUUCAGUUAUAAUUUUUUUUAAUUUUGUUAAUUAAAUCCUAAGUUUUUUCACAUUUUGUCAAUUGAGUCCCCCUGAUCAAUUGUAAUCUAAAAUCACUUAUGUGAACGCCAAUUGUUUUAUGUAACAUGAUCGAUAUUAACGUGAAUUUUUAUAAUUUUUUUAAAUUUCUGAAUAUUUUAUGAUUUUCUUUUUUUCCUUUCUUACUUUUUCUUUUUUCUCUUCUAAGUCCGAUGAAGUUCGGUUAGCCCUUGCAUAUGACUGGGAAGGGUCACACCGACCCUGGCAAACUUGACCAAAAGAAAAAUGGAAAAAUAAAUAAAUAAAUAAUAUAAAAAAAUCAUCCAUGUCGACACUAGCUGUCCUACGUGGCAUUACUGGCGCUCACAUUAGCGAUUACCGACUAAAAUUGACUAAGUGAACUUGAUCGAAAAAAUGUAAAAAUGUUUAAGAUUUAAUUAAAAAGUUUAGGACUAAAUUAAUUAGAAUACAACAAGUUUAAGAUUUUUUAGACAACUUUCCCAUCUGAUUUGAGUGCUGACUAAAAGUUUGUGUGGGUAUACAUAUAUAUAUAGAGAUUUUGUGUUGACAAUUUUUCCAUUGGAUUUGAGUGCUAACUGAAAAUUUAUAAAAUAAUGUGCCAGAAUUUGGACUCACAAAAGAUUGAUAUGAUAUUUUUAAGGGAUCGGGCCCGUAAAAUAGCCACGCAAAAAAAAAAAAAAUGAAUGUUUCGUGUCCGGAACAACAUUUGUUCAGAGCCCUAGGGUAUCGACGUCGGAAGCCACUUGGUCUCAAAAUAAACGCAAAACAGGAUAAGCAUGCGCGGCGAUCCGCUCCAGCGGGCCAUCGCGACGAACCGACGACGAUUCAUCCCCACUCCCAGCGGCCAAGUCAGAGGGAAAGAAUGAUGGUUGAACUGCACGUACGUAAUGCUGACCCCAAGUUUCACGCCUCGAGUUCUCUUGCAGCGCAGCACUUUGGAAUUAGUCAGCAACCCCAGAUCCUAAACCAGUAACACCGCGCGUGCAGAUUACUUUAACAUUUUCUCUCACGGUUAAUUUGAUUUUUUUGCCCAAUACGAAAUGUGAAAAUUUAAUAGGGGAGACGAAUGAAAUCUGAAAAGAUUUGAAACCGAAAACUGCAACUCUAAUACUAUGUUAGAAUUUUGUGAGACCACAAUUGACUAUUUUAAAAAUUUAAGAUAUUAUACAAACACGUGGUUUAAUAUUUAACUACUUUAACGAGAUGAAAGAUAGUUAGGUUAGGUUGUACUAAGAUGGUGUAAUGAUUGUCUUUUUCGUAAACAUGUGAGGAAGGAGCUUACUAAUGGUUUAUUACUUGUCCCAAUUAUAUUUAAAAAAGGGGAGGGAAGAUCUCCACACAUAUCAAGUGGCAAAGGAAAACAAAAGGUGUGGAUCAAAGUUCAGAAUUUAUAUUUGUAAGGCCACAACACCCGGUCUACUCUUGGCACGCCCAGCUUAUAGUUAUGAGAAAGAUGGAUCUAACUUGUACACGAGCCACGAUGCAUUUUGCAACUUGAUAUUCACUAUGUUGUCAUUUGGGGACACAGUCAAUAUACUCAUCCUCCGUAUGACUCAAUGAUGGUCAAUAGCUCUUCGAUGAUUCGAGUCCAACAAAUCAUAUGCCAAAUUGACCAAGUCAUGCCUAGACUUAUUGAGGACUAUUAUAUGAUCUAAGGAAGAUUGGUUUCUGAUGUGGACAUCGAGCCAUAUCGAGGAGGUGGUGCUAGGGACCCAUUGUUUAUUCCUACUGGUUCGAUUACUCGAGCGCGGGCCAAGCAUUUUAGACAAGCUGUUGGCAUCAUGGUUCGUGAUACUUGGCGUGGAAAUGACCUUAGAUCAAAUCUUGAAGAAUCUUGGAAAUCUUGGCGCAAUUUGAUUAUGUGGACACCAAAUAUUUGACCAAGUCAUACAUACAUAUAUAUAUAUAUAUAUAUAUGUAUAUGUGUGUGUGUGUGUGUGUGUGUGUGUGUGUGUGUGUGUGUAUUCUUGUUUAGGAAUAUUCUAGAAUAUGACGCAUUAGAUUUCUAGGGUUGGUUUUAGAGUUUGUGUGGCGGCUAGAAGACUGACUGAAUUUCUUUGGGGGAUAGAUAUAUUUUUAUUUUUGAGAAAAAAGUUGAGAGAUUCUUUUCUACUGUUCUUUUGAGGACUUGACCUUACCAAGGUUCUCUUGUGACGGUCGAUUCGACUUAUCAAGCGAGAUAGCGAAUUCUUUCACUCGUGGUGUCUAUAACGUUGGUUGGUUGUCACGCGUUCGUCAACAGCUCACGUUCAUACCGAGAUUGCCAAUCACAGGUUUGAUUGGAGAUCGAGGUUCACAAUUCGCACCAUCCGGGCCUUCGUAGAAUGAUCUUUCCACAACGAUUCACAUCAUUUUGGUAUCAAAGCUUGCUUCUACAAGGUAUAUUUAUCUUUAAUUUUCUGUUUAUAUUCAAUAAUUUGAGAUUUAUUGAGCUAGGGUUUCGAUUCCAGCCAAUUUAUGGAUCUUAUUGCUUUUGUGCUUUCAUACGUAGUUGUUUACUAUUAGUUUUAACUUUCUCCUAGCAUUUUAAAUUGUAUUUGAGUUCGUCAAAAAAAAAGAGAGAAAGAAAACUCACAAAAAAAAAAAGUGCGCGAGAGAAAAAAAAAACAGAUUCGGCAGAAAAAAAAUAACCAAACAAAAAAAAAUCAAGAAGGCAACUCAUUUGUUAGUGGAUUGAAUUGAAACAAAAUCAGCAGUGAUUUGCGUUUUAAUUGGAAUUUCGAAAGUUGUAUUUGUUAGUUUAAAAUUGUUACUUGCUUAAACAAAAUCAAUAGUGAUAUAAUCAUGUUUAAUUAAUUUAAUUGAUUGUCGUGAGGGGGUUGAGAGACAGGUUUUGAGUCCGAUAAAGAGCUUGUGAAAAGAGAAUAUGAGAGGGAAAAGGCAAGAGUGUGUAAGCUUAAUUUAGGGUGGAAAAAGCCUAGACUUGAGUUAAACACGAGGGGAGUGACAAACACCUUAAGAGAAACACGUGAGGGAGUGAUUGGUGAGUAUUUUUUGUGACUAACAUUUACUUGCAGGUCUAAAAUAUGUCGUGCGAAGAAAGCGUGAAUCAAAGGGAGGUUGACUCUAUACGAAGGGAUGAAGCACUCGUGGAAAGCAUCCAAUAAUUGAGGGUCAUAGUGGAGGAGCUUAGUGGCCGAAUGAUGGGUAAUGGCAUGAGGGUUAAUGGUGACGGAGAGCUACCCAGGGAAGGCCGCAACAUCAACGAGACACCUCUAGAACACGACAUAGAAGGCAACGACAUUAUGAUGAUGAUGAGGCUGACAUGGAGGAUGAUCGAUAUGCUUGAUUUGAAAUGUGGAAUGGAGCCUGAGGGUUUAGACACCGAGAAGAUAAUAAACUUGGCAAUAUCAAGAUGAAGAUUCCUUCUUUCCAAGGGAAGAAUGAUCCUGAUGCGUAUCUAGAGUGGGAGAAACGCAUGCAGAUGGUAUUUGAUUGCCAACGAUACUCCAAGCUCAAAAAGGUAAAAACUGUAGCUGUUGAAUUUACUGAUUAUGUUAUAAUUUGGUGGGAUCAACUUGUGACUAGUAGGAGGCGCAAUGUUGAAAGACCAAUAGAGACGUGGGAUGAGAUGAAAGCGGUGAUGAGGAGGCGUUUUGUACCAAGUCAUUACCAUUGAGAUUUGUUUCAAAAAUUACAAAAUCUCACACAAGAUAAUAAGAGCGUGAAAAAGUAUCACAAAGAGAUGGAGAUUGCCAUGAUCCGUGCUAAUGUGGUGGAGGAUCGUGAGACCAUAAUGUCGAGAUUUUUGAGUGGUUUGAGCCGAGACAUAGUAAGGGUGGUGGAGCUGCAACACUAUGUUGAAUUGGAGGAAUUGGUGGACAAAGCCAUUAAAGUUGAGCGGCAAUUGAAGUUGGACCGAAAUCACAAGAGUGGAGGAGGUUCAAAUCAGAAUUGGAGAUCCAAUUGGAGGAAAGAUGAGAAGCCAAAUUGGAGAGGAAACAACAUAAAAAACCGAAACCUCAAAGGAGAAGGAGAGGGACGGUAAAGUUGGAACGAAUCUGGCUUCAAGUAAAACCGAAAACCCUAACACUAGAACUCGUGAGAUUAAAUAUUUUAAGUGUUUGGGUAUAGGUCAUAUGGUGAAUCAAUGCCCUAAUAGGAGGGUGAUGAUCAUGACUGGACAUGGUGUUAUUGAGUCUAAAAGUGAAAGGGAAGAAGAGGAUGAUGAGAUGCCACCGUUGGAGGAUUGUAGUGAUGGAGAAAUAGCAAUAAAAUGAGACUUAUUGGUGGUUAGACGAUCUCUUAGUGUGCAGGUAAAGGAGGAGGAGCAUCACCAACAAAGAGAUAACUUGUUUCAUACAAAAUGUAUGGUGAAUGGUAAGAUAUAUAGUUUGAUAAUUCAUUGAGGUAGUUGUGCAAAUGAGGCAAGUUAUAUUAUGGUGGAUAACUUGGGUUUGAAGACAACAAAGCACCCUAGGCCUUAUAGACUUCAAUGAUUAAAUGAUAAUGGAGAGGUGAAAGUGUCGAAGCGAGUUCGAAUCCCAUUUGAGAUAGGGAGAUACAAGGACGAGGUAGAGUAUGAUGUUGUACCUAUGCAAGCGGGUCAUAUCUUACUUGAAAAACCAUGGCAAUAUGAUCGAAAGGUACAUCAUGAUAGGUAUACUAAUCGUUAUUCAUUGGUGAUGAAUCAAAAGACUUAUACUUUGGUACCAAUGACACCUAGUGAGGUGUAUCACGAUCAGUUAAAUUUAUAACGAGAAGCCAAGAGAGAGAGAGAGAGAGAGAGAGAGAGAGAAAAUGUGAGAAAUCCGAGGGCUUACGUGGUGUGUCUGAGACGCAAGGAAAAGGAGAGGUCGAGAGAAGGAUUGUGGUAAAAACCGAGAGAAAAGAAGAGAGAAAAGAAAAUAGGCAAAAGAAUUUUUAUGCAAAAUCGAGUGAGGUGAGGAGAGCUUUAGUUCUAGACCAACCGAUACUUAUACUUUUGUACAAUGAGGUUUUGUUUUCUACUGACGAUCUUGACCCAAGUUUGUCUAGUCCUAUUGUGUCAUUAUUGCAGGAAUUUGAAGAUGUCUUUCCUGAUGAACUUCCUAGAGGGAUACCACCGAUUCGAGGCAUAGAACAUCAAAUUGACUUGAUUCCUAAUGUGCCAUUACCUAACCGACCCGCAUAUCGAAGCAAUCCCGAGGAGACAAAGGAACUUUAGCGGCAAGUUAGCAAACUAUUGGAACGGGGUAUGUGAGAGAGAGUCUUAGCCCGUGCACCAUCCCUAUUUUGUUGGUGCCAAAGAAUGAUGGAACUUGGCAAAUGUGUGUCGAUUGCUGAGUAAUCAAUAACAUUACGGUAAAAUAUCAACAUCUUAUUCCUAGGUUAGAUGACAUGUUGGAUGAGUUGCAUGGUUCUUGCAUUUUCACUAAGAUCGAUUUGAAAAGUGGCUAUCAUCAAAUUAGGAUGAAAGAAUGUGAUGAAUGGAAAACUGCAUUUAAGACUAAGUAUGGAUUAUAUGAGUGGUUAGUCAUGCCAUUUGGAUUAACUAAUACACCAAGCACGUUUAUGCGACUUAUGAAUCGUGUUUUGUGUGCUUUUAUUGGUCGAUUUGUGGUUGUCUAUUUUGAUGACAUCUUGAUAUAUAACCGAAGCCCUGAUGACCAUAUUGAGCAUGUGCGAGCUGUUUUACAGGUUUUAAGAGCCGAGCAAUUAUACACUAAUCUAAAGAAGUGCUCUUUUGUUACCAACAAAUUAGUAUUUCUAGGAUUUAUUAUUAGUGUUGAUGGUAUACAGGUUGAUGAAGAAAAUGUCAAAGCAAUUCGUGAAUAGCCAACGCCUAAGACCAUAGGAGACGUGCGUAGCUUUCAUGGAUUGGCAAGUUUUUAUCGGCAAUUUGUGAAAAAUUUCAGUACCAUUGUCGCAACUUUAACUGAGGUUAUCAAUAAGUACAUAGGUUUCACGUAGGGGUAUGCAAAAUACCCGGGAACCGCCCGGAUCGCCCGGAACCAAAUCAGAACCGCCCGGAACCGGCGGUUCUUGAGAGAACCGGUCCGAUUCCCGGUUCCAAUUUUUCGGAACCGGUGGGUACUAGUCCGGUUCUCGGUUCCAUGGGCGGAUCCGCCCACCCGGACCGGACCGGAACCUUUUUAAUAUUAAGAAAAAAAUACUAAAAGAAACCCUAGAUUAGAUCUCAUCUCCUCACUCCCUUCGUCUUUGGUUCUCUCUCUCUCUUUGUCUCUUCCUCGAUUCCUCUUAAUCUCAUCGCCAUUUCGAUUCCUCCCCGAGCGUUGACGCCACCGUCGCUGCUCCUCCGCCGCUGCUAUUCACCCCCUCGCGUCGGUCGCCACCCGCCACAGCCGCGGAAAAUUGUUUCGUGAUCGUUCUAUGUUGAAAACCUGACCAUAGACCUCCUCCCCUCCUUCCCAACUCAUAGACCCAACCGUUCUAUGUUGAAAACCAAAAUUGUUUCGCAUCAAAAUCAGUUCCAUUGAUUCACCCGAGAAUCAGACCGGACCGGCGGUCCAGUUCCCAGGUGGAUCCAUGUAACAAACGGGUGGAUCCCGGUUCCAAUUUUUCGGAACCGGUCCUUAGCGGGCGGUUCCUGGUUCUAGGUCGGGAACCACCUGCCCGGACCAUGCACACCCCUAGUUUCACGUGGGGAAAAGAGCAAGAAAAAGCAUUUACUCUACUAAAGAAUAAGUUGACUAAUGCUCCUUUGUUAUCUUUGUCGAAUUUCAGUGCUACUUGUGAGAUAGAGUGCGAUGCUUCUAGUAUAGAAAUUAGAGCCGUGUUGAUGCAAUAAGGGCGUCCCAUAGCUUAUUUCAGCGAGAAAUUGAGUGGAGCAAUAUUGAAUUAUCUUACCUAUGAUAAGAAGAUGUAUGCUUUAGUGUGAGCUUUGGAGACUUGGCAACAUUAUUUAUGGCCGAAGGAGUUUGUGAUCCACACCGAUCACGAGACCUUGAAGUACUUGAAAGGGUAACAAAAGUUGAAUAAAAGACAUGCCAAAUGGAUGAAGUUCAUCAAGACUUUUCCAUAUGUGAUCAAGUACAAGAAAGGUAAGGAGAAUGUGGUAGCCAAUGCACUUUUUCGAAGGUAUGUGAUUCUAACUACUUUAGAAGCAAAGUGUCUAGGUUUUGAGCAUAUCAAUGGCUUAUAUACUGAUGAUGAUGACUUUGGGAGAGUGUUUGAAGCAUGUGAGCAUGUUGCAUUUGAUAAAUUCUAUAGGCGUGAAAGUUAUUUUUUUCGUGAAAACAAACUAUGUUUGCCUAAGUGUUCUUUGCGUGAAUUGUUGAUGCGAGAAGCGCAUAGUGGUGGUUUAAUGAGGCAUUUUGGCAUUAAUAAGACUUGUGAAGUAUUGCAUAAACAUUUUUAUUGGCCACAUAUGAAGAAAGAUGUCACACGUGUCUGUGAGAGAUGCAUUGCUUGUAAGCAAUCAAAAUCUACAACUAAAUCGCAUGGCUUGUAUACACCAUUACUUAUUCCAACGCAUCCUUAAAUUGAUAUUUCUAUGGAUUUUGUGUUAGGAUUGCCUAGGUCUAAGUAUGGUAGAGAUUCUAUUUAUGUGGUUAUUGAUUGGUUUUCAAAGAUAGCUCAUUUUAUACCUUGUCAUAAAACUGAUGAUACAUCUCAUGUUACUGAUUUGUUCUUUAAGGAAGUUGUACAUUUGCAUGGCAUGCCUAGAUCGAUUGUUUUAGAUCGAGAUUCUAAAUUUCUUAGCUACUUUUGGAAAACAUUAUGAAAAAAACUAGGAAUACGGUUGUUAUUUUCUACUACUUGUCAUCCACAGACUGAUGGUCAAACUGAGGUAGUUAAUAGAAAUUUAGGGGUAUUGUUGCAUGCUAUUAUUAAAAAGAAUAUAAAUUCUUGGGAAGAUUGUCUGCCACAUGUUGAAUUUGCAUAUAAUAGGAGCAUGCAUUCUGCUACUAAAUUUAUACCAAUUGAAGUUGUCUAUGGUUUUAAUCCGUUAACUCCGUUAGAUUUAACCCAUUUACCUGUUAAUGAGCAUGUGGAUUUAGAUGGAGCAAAGAAAGCCGAAUUUGUCAAGGCGUUGCAUGAGAAGACGCACGCAAAUAUUGAGCGCAAGACUGAACAAUAUGCAAGGUAAGCCAACAAAAGGCGCAAGGAAGUGGUGUUUGAACCUAGUGAUUGGGUUUUGGUUCAUAUGCGCAAGGAGCGAUUUCUUGAGUAGCGACAUUCUAAGUUAUUACCGCGAGGGGAUAGACCAUUCAUGGUGUUAGAAAGAGUUAACAAUAACGCCUACAAGCUUGAUCUUCCAGGUAAGUAUGAUGUCAAUACUACAUUUAAUGUUUCUGAUUUGACUCUUUUUUAUGCAAGUGAUGAUUUGAGGGCAAAUCCUUUGCACAAGGGAGGGAAUGAUGUGGACAUCGAGCCAUAUCGAGAAGGUAGUGCUAGGGACCCAUUGUCUAUUCCUACUAGUUCGAUUACUCAAGCGCGGGCCAAGCAUUUCAAGCAAGCUGUUGGUGUCAUGGUUCGUGAUCUUCGGUGGGAAAAUGACCUCGGAUCAAAUCUUAAAAAAUCUUGAAAAUAUUAGCGCAAUUUGAUUAUAUGGACACCAAAUAUUUGACCAAGUCAUAUAUAUAUUCUUGUUUAGGAAUAUUCUAGAAUAUGACACAUUAGAUUUCUAGGGUUGAUUUUAGGGUUUGUGUAGUAGCUAUAAGGCCUAUAUAUAGAUUGACUUAAUUUCUUUGGGAGAUAGAUAUAUUUUUAUUUUUGAGGAAAAAGUUGAGAGAUUCUCUUCUACUGUUUUUUUAAAGACUUGACCUUAUCAAGGUUCCCUUGUGAUGGUCGAUUCGACUUAUCAAGCGAAAUAGCGAAUUCUUUCGCUCGUGGCAUCUAUAACGUUGGUUGGUUGACACUCGUUCGUCAACAGGUCAUGUUCAUACUGAAGUUGUCAAUCACAGGUUUGAUUAGAGGUCGAGGUUUGCAAUUCACACCAUUCGGGCCUUCAUAAAACGAUCUUUCCGCAACGAUUCACAUCAGUUUCGAGAUAGGCAGGUUCAAACCAAAAACUUGGAGCUUUGUCAAAUUCAGUCCUUGAUCCUUAUGUGAGAUUUUUUGUGGAUCAUUUAAGAGAUUUGGGGAUGACUAUUUUAAAUUAGUUAGUAAUGAUUCUCACAAAAUCUCACAUAGUAUCAACGCUAUAAAUCCUGAGUUCGAAUUCUUCCAAAUCUCAUUUACCUUUUCAAUUAAAUUUUCAAGCUUAGUACUAGGUUUAAAAAAAAAAAGGACCAAAUUGAGCAUACGGAGAAGUGUUGAAGUACUUAAACAUAAAAACAUACAUUCAUCUAAUAGUUUUAACUUUUAGAAUCAUUGACAGUGAUCAUCAUAAAAUCUUGCACAUUCAUAUGACGAAGCAGACUAAUUCUCUUGAUAAUCAACUUGGAAUUGCAUUGGCCAGUUGUAGAGUCAACCCAGAAAUCAUACUUCGGAAAAAUAUCAAAUCAACCAUGAAUGGGGAAAUCUCUUCGUUUUGGUAAGAUCCGCUAACCUUACGGAAAUCAUUUCCUGGGGGCGAACCAGAAACGGGUGGCCAAGAUUUAUUUCCACAAAUUGGCAUGAAGUUGUCUCUCAUGAAUGCCUAGCCUGCCUAAAGAAGAACCCUUCCGCAUUUGACAAGGCGCGCCAUCUGUGCAAGCGAAAGAGAACAGAAAGCAACCAAACAAGGACUCGAAAUGACAACCUUAAUCCACCCACCCCAAAAGGUCUAACGAGUGGACAAGAGCCGCCUACGGAAGACAGUAUACAGAACGUAUGCGAAAUUGUACGCCUGGUAUCUACCCACAUGCAGCGUGUCUGAAUAGUCUAUGAAUGAUCUCAUGUCACCUCCAUCAUGUUUAUUCCUGCAACGUAAUCUAAUCACACCUGCCUGAAAAUCCAACUAAAACAAAGCAGCCCACUGGUUUCAAGAGAUUGAAACUAUUAAUUUAUCAGAGGAAAACAAAGCAAGAAAGAAACGCCAACUAAUAUCUAACCAGCGAUUCUGUUGGAAAUUGUGAUCCAUUUUCUAAAACUAUCUAAAAACUAUUAAGGGUGCGUUUGGUAACGUUUCUAUUUAAAAAUUGUUCCAAGAAACAGCAAAAAAAAAAAAAAACUAUUUUUGUUUCAAAAAACAAUUUUUUACCAGAAGAAAGCGUUUGGUAACUAUACAAAAUUUAUGUUCCUAGAAUAGAAAAAGAACGAAAACACGUUUAGUAAACUUGUAUAAUUUUUUUGUUUCUUUUAAUUUUUUAAUUAUUUUAUUUUUUUUUUCCUUUUUUUUUUUUUUCUUUUUUCCUACUUUUGGUCGGUCGCCAGCCUCAGUCAUGGCCGACAAGGGCCGGUAGCCUCGCCCAACCACCGGCGAGGUUGAGCCUCGCUAUGGGCCAACGACGCUCCGGCGAGGUUGCCGGCCCUCGACAGCCGAUCGCCAGCCAUGGUCGAGGCCAGCAACCGGCCAAAGAAAAAAGAAGAAGAAAAGAAAAAGAAGGAAAAAAUAGGAGAGAGAAAAUUUGUUUCUCGAAAGUGUUCCGGGAACAAAAAACGAGUUUUUCUUGUUUCUUGUUUCUGUUCCAAAUUUGUUCCCUGGAACAGAAUCAAGUCCCGAGAACAAAAACGUAAACAAACGCGUUUCUGUUAUUUUUUUGUUCCCCGGAACACAAAAACAAAAAUUGCGUUCAUGACAAGAAAAAAGAAAACAAACAAACGCACCCUAAACCUUCGCAACAGCAUCCACGUUGAAGAAUAGUUGAGAAUGGAGGUUGCUAGCUGAACCUAGAAGAUUUAUGUGGAAAUGCGAGCAAGCAGAAGCCAAGUUGAAGAAAAAUCCUAGAACAAGCUAAAGAAGUCUACGUGCAUGGGAAAUCUUGAAAAUAAGUCAACAAUGGUUGCUUAACCAUGAAGAAAGAAGGAUCAAGAGUAUGUGGACAGAGUACUUGGAGAAGAAGAAAAUUAGUUGUCUUACAACUAUACUAUGGUGGUGAAAAAAAGUCAAAAGUUGCUCUAUAAAUAGAGCCUAGAAUCAUUCAUGUAGCAUGGGUGAGUGGUGAACCCUCCACCUUGUGUGAGUGAAUCCUCCACCGUAAGCGUGAUCAUGUGAGGAGAUGAGCUUAAAAAUCUCCAUCAAACUAUUUUGUUCAACUAAUGAAAUUAUUUCCCCCAUAUCUCAUGUCCUUCAAUUAUCUUAUCUUGUCUUUUGUCCAUCGUCUAUAAACUAUACGAUACACUUGCACACAUCACUAAUAAAAAACUAUCAUCAAUACCAAAAUCAUGUUUCCGCAUGCACACAUCCAAAAAUUUUAACAGAUUCAACAGAGCCUCGCCUUCUCGUCCCCUCUUCAGUUCUAUCGUCACUCUCUCUCUCCAGGUGGGUUCUUUGUUAUGUUCUUGAUCCGUCUGCCAGCUCUUCUAGUCUAAAGUUUUGAACUUUUUCCUGUUCAUUUCGUUUUUGCACUCGGGUUGUUGAGUGCUGAAUUGCGCUGGUUGGAUCUCUUGAUCGUCAUUUGAUAGUCUCAGAUCAAUUGGGUAAUUGACUGAUCGCUCUGAAUCUGCGUUUCUUGCAGCUUUAGCUCGAUACGCAUCAGUUUGGCUGCGGAGUUCGUCAUUCUUGAGUCAGAUGGCCUCCGCAAUGCUCUCUUUUGCUUCGGCUGUGGCCUCGGCCCCAGCUUCACUGUCGGUGCACGAACAUCUCAAGGUACUUCUUAAUUUCGUUUUCUUGAACGUAGUGAUUUCAUCUCGUGGAUCUCUCUUCUGGUUUCUUUUGCGAUGGUUGAAUUCGAAAGGUGUGCUUUUUCCUUUUUCUCUGUUUUUGCUGUUUUCACGGUGGUGUGUCAUGUUUUCUCUUUAUAUAUUUCAAAUGCUUGAUUUGGGCGAAUCACACUGAUCUUGUUUGCUUUCAUUAGGGGAAAGCAAAGAUUGGAAGUGCCAAUUUCAGAAGUAGUGUGCCAGAGAGAAACCCAUUUGCCAAAACUAAGGUAUGGUGCUUGCGAUCUCCUGUCAUUCGUCAUCUCUUCAGUUUUUCAGUUCUCUAACUUGGUUUUGCUCUGGUGUCCUCGCUAUGAGUUGACUAUGAAUUAUACGUCUUGAGCAUGCUUCGUUUGGCUGGAUAAGUGGUAUGAUUGUGUCGGAGAUAUGGCCUUAUUACUUCCGUUCAAGUUUCAAUUUUGUCCUUGUUUCUCUUCCUGAUUUAUUGGAUUGUAAAUACUGUCAUACUUUUUUUUUCCUAGUGACUGGUGAAAUCCUGUUCAUUCUUAUUUCUGGUUUUGAAGGCAAGCACGCUGUGGGAGAUUGGUUAUAACUUAUGCGUUUGGAUGUGUAGAGUCAAUCAUCAAGUCUCUUACGGUUGUAUCUAGUCAAUUUGAUUUCUGAGUUUAUAUCAUCUCAUCUACGCAGCAUUUUGGUCGGGUAUCUAUGACUGUUGCUGUUAAUGUUUCGCGAUUCGAGGGCAUAACAAUAGCCCCUCCCGACCCGAUUCUUGGGGUGUCUGAAGCCUUUAAAGCAGACACAGAUGAAAAGAAGCUCAACCUUGGAGUCGGGGCGUAUCGGACGGAAGAAUUGCAGCCUUACGUGCUUAAAGUUGUCGAGAAGGUGAGUUUUCUUAAUCUUAAUUAGGCAGUGAAUGAUUCAUUAUUUCAACAUGGUUCAAUGCUCUCUUUCUUCAGUGAGCUUCAUUUUCCUUAAAGAAUAGAAUUCAUGCUUAAUGAUUUAGGGUGCGUUUAGUUUAGCAUUUUGAAAAUCCAUUGGCAAAAUAAAAAGUGGGUUAGCCUAAAGAACUUGAGACAAAUGCAAAAACCGUUUGGUAAACUAUGCUAUGAGAAGUAACUUUGAAAACACAUUUGAAAAACCCUUUGAGCGAAUAAUAUUAGCUUUUUUUUUUAAUUUCAUUUGUAUUAUGCAACUUUUUAAAUAUAAAUUUUGACAAUAAUACUAAAAAAAUCAAAUGCACAUAUAAUUUUUUUUUUAAAAGACCAAACCCUUCAUUGGAAUUUUUUAAUUUUUAUUUUCUUAAAAUUGAAAAAAAAAAUGUAUGAAUUUUUUAAAUAUAAAUUUUGACAAUAAUGUUAAAAAAAUCAUAUAUAUAUAUAUAUAUAUAUAUAUAUUUAAAAAACCAAAUCCUUCGUUGAUUUUUUUUUUAAAUUGAAAAAAUAAUGUAUGCAAAUUUUUAAAUAUAAAAUUGAAAAUACUGCUAAAAAAAUCAAAUACAUAUAUAUAUUUUUUAAAGACCAAACCCUUCAUUAUUUUUUUUAAAUUUUUAUUUGUUUAAAAUUAAAAGAAAAAAUAUGCAACUUUUUAAAUAUAAAUUUUGACAAUAAUGCUAAAAAAUAAAAUACACAUAUAUAUAAUUUUUUUAAGAAGACAAAAUCCUUCAGUCAAAAUUUUUUAAUUUUAUUUGUUUAAAAUUUUAAAAAUAAUGUAUGUAACUUUUUAAAUAUAAAUUUGAAAAUAAUGCUAAAAAAUCAAAUACAUAUAUAUAUAUAUAUAAUUUUUUUAGAAAAAAGACCAAACCCUUCGUCGGAAAUAGUAAAAAUAUCACGACAAAGAUGACUAAUGAACAAAGUCGACAGGAGGGCAGACAACAGCCUCUCUAAAAUAAUCAAAUAUAUAGGAUAAAAAAAAUAAAAUAUAUAAAUAAUUUCUUUCUAAAAAGACCAAAACAUAUUCAAUUUUUUUAGCAUUAUUUUGGCAUUUAAAAAAAUAAUAACGAUGGCAAAAUAAGAAAUUUGGAGAACGGGUGAUGAUAGUUUUGGAAAAAUAAAAAUAAGUUUCAGCAUUUAGCCAAAUGCUAAAAACUCAAAGCUAGUGCCUAUUAGCAUUGGGCUUUCAGCCUUUACAAUGCCGACUUUGACUUGAAAGUUACUUCAAAAUGGUUGCCAAACGGUCUAGUAUUUCCCCAAUGGGCUUUAAAGGCUGAAAGCCCAUUGGAAAUGUUGAACCAAACGCACCUGAGAGCUUCUUAUCUGUUUUUUGUUUUUUCCUCUAGUCAAGUUGAUCUAACCGUGGAUUUUACUACUCUGUGUAGGCUGAGAAUCUCAUGCUGGAGAGAGGGGAAAACAAAGAGGUACACAUUUCUCUGAAUUAUAUUUGAUCAUGUGGUGUCACUGUAUCGAUCUGAGAUUAUUCUGAUAUAACUUUGAUCUGCAGUAUCUGCCAAUUGAAGGUUUGGCCGCAUUUAAUAAAGCAACUGCAGAGUUAUUGUUUGGAGCAGACAACCCAGUGAUAAAGCAACAGAGAGUAUGUCUGCAUUAUGUGUUAACCGACCUCUUUGCAUAGAGUUUCCUUGGAAAACUACAUCUUUUGCAAUUCUUUACCAGGUUGCAACCGUUCAAAGUCUUUCGGGGACUGGUUCCCUUAGGCUGGCUGCUGCUCUUAUUGAGAGGUACUUUCCUGGAGCGAAGGUGUUGAUAUCAUCUCCGACUUGGGGUAUGUGCUAUUGCCCGUGGAACUUUUUUUUUUCUUUUUUGUAAUUAUCUUGGUAGGUUAAAAUUGUUAUGUCAACUACAAUUCUGCAGGAAACCACAAGAAUAUUUUCGAUGAUGCUAGAGUUCCAUAGUCUGAAUACCGAUAUUACGACCCAAAGACAGUGGGCUUGGAUUUUGAGGGGAUGAUCGCUGACAUUAAGGUUGAGUCCUUAUAAUGAAUGAUGCCUGCUUAACCUCAUCUUUACUAAGUUGAAUAGCAUGUCCAAAUUAAAACCUAACGAGGGGCAUGGCCCUGUUUGUUCAGGAUGCGCCAGAAGGAUCUUUUAUCUUGCUCCAUGGCUGUGCUCACAACCCAACUGGCAUCGAUCCAAACCCUGAACAGUGGGAAAAGAUUGCCAAUGUCAUUCAAAAGAAGAAUCAUAUACCUUUCUUUGAUGUUGCUUACCAGGUAUUAAUCACUUGUGAUCCGAGAUUUAGUCUAAUCGAGUGUCCUACAUACCCUCAGAUGCAAUAAGGAUGUUGUAACUCAAAGAAAGGGCUUCUUCUUUUCAAAGUGCAGAAUCUUUUAACAGACUGUAAUAAAUUUAAUUUUGUCCUUCUUGGAUGUUCUUCUAUUAAUUUUAUCUGGACUACCAUAUGCAUUAUAGGGAUUUGCAAGUGGAAGCCUUGACCCUGAUGCUGGAUCAGUGAGACUGUUUGCUGCUCGAGGCAUGGAGCUUCUGGUGGCUCAGUCUUACAGUAAGAAUCUGGGUCUUUACGCAGAGAGAAUUGGAGCAAUCAAUGUUGUCUGCUCAACUGCAGAUGCAGCAACAAGGUAUAUGAAUCUUUGCUCUUCACAUGAUGAGAACAUAGUUUGCCUGCUUAUCUUACUUCUAUGCCCAUUCCAUGCUUUCAAGAAUAUGCUAUGUAAGUUUGUCCAAAUUUUUUGCUGACCUCAGCAAGUCCAAUAUUAUUCUUAUGUUCCAUUAGAAUGGGCAAUAGAAGAUCUUUGUCACAAUCAUUCCUUUGCAUAAGCGAUUGCAAGGGUGAAGUAAUUGCAGCCUGUUUGUUUGGUGUAAAGUAUGUGUUAAAUAUGAUGGGGCUCCCUCUAAGAACAUUAUAAGGUUUAAAGCAACCUGAAUAACUAGAAUUUUUGUUUGCUAGAAAAAACUGACAAAAAUUUUUGGCAACACUGUGGACAGUGAUCUAACCCUUGAUAUUGCUGGAGAAAGGUGUUGGUAGAUUAGAUGAGCUUCUUCGAGCAGCUUAUGGUUUUUAAUGGCAUAUUGCUUCCACUAAUAUCACGAUGCCCUACAUUCUCAGGGUGAAGAGCCAAUUGAAGCAGCUUGCUCGGCUAAUGUAUUCUAAUCCUCCUGUCCAUGGGGCUAAGAUUGUUGCAAACAUUGUCAGUGAUCCAGCUCUAUUCAACGAUUGGAAGGCAGAAAUGGAAAUGAUGGCCGGAAGGAUCAAGAAUGUGAGACAAAAGCUAAAUGACAGCCUCUCUGCCAAGGACAAGAGCGGGAAGGAUUGGUCAUUCAUACUCAAGCAGAUUGGCAUGUUCUCAUUUACAGGCUUGAGCAAAACACAGGUAAUUUCCCUUCACAAGUUGUUACACUCUGUCCAGAAUAAUUAUCUUGUUUGUUGUCCGUUUCGAAAUGAAUCAUGUCAUCUUUCAUUGUCCCUAUGGGACCCUUAUAGUGACAAUCAAAGGGGAUCGCUAACUCUGGUCGCCCUUCCCCACCUUUUUACUUCAAAAAACAAAAAGAAGCUUCUUGUAUAAUCCACCGUGCUAUCAUUGUCUCCAUAGUAAUCUUUCUUUGUUGCCCUUUCAGAGCGAGAACAUGACAAACAAGUGGCAUGUGUACAUGACAAAGGAUGGAAGGAUCUCCUUGGCUGGACUAAAUUUGGCCAAGUGUGAGUAUCUUGCAGAUGCCAUCGUAGAUUCAUAUCACAAUGUCAGUUGAGUCUCGGAGACGAGGAUGAGGUAAUUGUAUUAGGAACCUUCAAAAGUUUUGGUGAGUCCAAUAUUGUCAUGGAAUAUCGGCUUAGCAGAAAUUGGACAACAAUAAUUCAGCAAUAAUGUAUCUCCAGCAACGCUUCAAAAUAAUUGUACUCGAAGUUUCAGCUCUUGAUCGGUUCUGGUUGCAGACACAAAACAGCAACAGCAGGUGCCUGCAGAUACAUUAAAACCCAGGUUUAGUAUUGCCAAAGAAGUGAUACUUAGCGCACGGUUUCUUACUUAGAUGGCCAAGUUCUAUAUAAAGCAAGAAGCAGAACUUAUCACAACCUAUUGACCGCAGAUUUCAUGAUUAAUCAAAAAGAAAAAUCUCUAUCAUCACAGCCUAAAUCAUCUUCUGUCCAUAUGCUAAUACCGUGAAAAUUCAGGAUUGAAAUUUGAAAAAUUUAACCAAUUCUAGUUGUGAAUUUUACCUUGGCAUUGUAGUCAGCAUCUAGAAGUAUGUCAGCUGAUCUCAGAUCUCCGCGAAUGACUGGCGGUUUGCAAAGCUUAUGCAGACUCUAUAAGCCUCUGGUCGACACAACCCAAUUGUUUUUCGCCACACAUGCCACUUGAUCUAAAUAAUGAACUUGAAAAUCUGAGUGACCCUAGAGUCUCACCGAGCUGUGUCAAGAGCCAUUUUCCAUCCGUAUAUGCCAUGCUAUUUCUGACCCAUUUGAACACCCUAAUGGAUAAUCAUAGGAAAAUGUAUACACUAAAAGUCCUAAAACUUAUCAAAAAAAGCACAAUUGAGUUCUAAAAUUUUCGAAAAAUGCAAUUAAAUCUUAAAAUUUGUCACGAAAAUGCAAUUGAAUCCUAAAACUUAUCAAAUUGAUCCAAUCAAGUUUUUCUAGUGAUUGUACCUUUUGAAAGUUUUAAAAAUUGACUGUAUUUUCAUGACAAAUUUUGGGACACGAUUAUAUUUUGUGAAAGUUUAGGACUCAAUUACACUUUCGUGACAAGUUUUAAAACUUUAAAUUCACUUAUCCCAUAAAUUAUAAUAACAAAAAAGAAUCACCUCCUUCACUAUAACCACGCUCAAACUCUAUCCAAAUUGAACGAAAUAUGAUGGAAAAGUUCUUCACUGGUAGAGAUUGUCAUAAAAUUACGAGAAUCAUCAUUGCUUGCAGCUUCUGAUGUAUAAAGGCUAUAGCUUAGUUUGCAAGCAGGGUCGUGGCAGAGUGAGAUUCCUCAGAAAUAAACCGUACCAGUAAUUCGUGAGAAUCCUCGUUGGCUACAGGGUUUUGAUGACUACCAUAGGUUGCAUGACAGGUUUGCAGCACUCCAUGUUGUGUUAUGAUUGUUGAAUUCGCUUGGAUAUCCUGAAUGUCCCACCAUCCUUUAUAUUCUUUUUCAUGUUUUUGGAUUUCGGUCUGCUCUAUAGCACUUAACCAGUUUCACUCUAGUCAAAGGAAGGAUUCCCAUUUAGAAUUGCGACUCGUAGGAUCGCUCUAUGCUGCCGUCUGCAGGCUGAUAUUGUUUGUAGCUCGCCAAAUGGUUAGGUUCGCCUUGUGUUUUCCUUCGAGGAGAUCCGAGGGAGCUUCAAAAUUGCUAAAAAUGAGAACUGGGUGAAAGUAAAGUAUUUGGACAAUAGUGAUUCGUACAAAUUCUCUUAAUCGGAGUAUAGAAAAUUGCAGGUGGCUGUUUCCGGCCCCAAACAACAUUGCUCUGAACCGGUGAGCGAGACACCACCUUCUCUAUCAUUCCCAUUUUUCUAGAAGUCGUCGUCUCCAGAAUUUUCAGAAGAAAAAUCAACUGUCAAGUGAGCAAGUUGAAGAGAGGCUCCAGUUCACUUCUCCAAGUGGCCACUCUGGAAUUGCUUGGAGACAAGAUCAGUCAAAGCCAGCUGUUAUGAAAUGUCAUCUGGAAAAUUAAGUAUGGAGACUUCCUCCAAGCAAGUGCUCUUUUUGGGCUCGUUUAAUUCGGCUUUGGGUAAAAAAGACAUUGGGAAAAUGCAAAUACUUUUACUUUCAGAAAAGCUAUACCAUAUGAUAAAUUAUAACUUUAAAUAGCAUUGGAAAAUAGCCUUGGCAUAAACAUCGUUUGGUAAAACCCACAUUUAAAAUGGGUUUUUGCUAUAUUUCUUCUUCUUCUUUUUAUAGAAAUCUGAAAAUUAAAUCAGGUUAGGGUUAACCAUCGAACCACCACUAGACAUAAACACCGUUUGGUAAAAUCCAUAUUUAAAAUGGGCUUUUGCUAUAUUUCUUUUUUUUUAAUCUAAAAAUUAAAUAUGGUUAGGGUCAACUGUCUAACCACCUCCAGCGGCCAGAUUUGGUCAUCCGAUUGCUAGGUCCAACCGUUCGGCUGCUAGAACUAGCGGCUUGAGGUUGCAUGAACCUCAGGCAAGGUGGCCUGAGGUGGCACGACCUCAGGCGUGGCCUGGAUCGUGACCUCAAGCCCACAACCUAGGCAAUGCCGCCUAAAGUCUAGCACUUAGGCGGUCGCCUGAGUUCGUGGGUCAUGCCACUUAGGCAGUGGUUGCCAGGGACGCACGACACCCAUACGGCGGUGACGGUCACUAGAGAAGCCUAACUCAGGCGACAAAUCGAGAAGACAAACGGCUAUGAUGAAUGAGAAAGAAGAUGAACAGUAACGGGUAAACAGUAAAUUUAGCAUUUUCGAAAUGCUGAAAGCCCAAAAUAGGUCCCUAUCUAUAUUGGGCUUUCAGCAUUUGGCCAAAGAAGUCUCAAAAAUACUUGCCAAACACUUUGUAUUUUUCCCAAUGAGCUUUGGAGGCCCAAAGCGCCUUGCAAAUGCUCAACCGAACUAGGCCUUUGUGCAGGUGUGUGGAAAAGCAAGAGUAAGGCAAACAUUUGGUGAGAGUACUGUGUGAGAGUGAGUCUCCAAAUGUUGAAAAGGACGAGUCCUUCGUGUGGAGUCCACAAAUAAUACAUUGCGUGAGUAGUGUCAGUUCUUAUAAUGAUAAAAGAGUGUUCAUUUGAAUUAUCCAAUUGAGUCCAACAAGCAGUACCAAAGCAAGUGGUCGAGGACCAACGACCCAAAAAUCGGAGCAUGGUAGGCGAACAACGUGGUCAAAGAACAUUGUAUGUGAAUACUGGCUUACUGCCAUAUUUUGUUGCAACACCGAUGCACUCUCUAACCUUUGCAACUUGGUAUCGUUAGAACUGCCAAGCUAUCUCAUGCCCUCCUUUGGGGUCUUUGCAUUCUUGAUGUGCUGUAACAACUCAUCUUCAAUAGUCACAACAAAAGCGUAUAGAGUGUCAUCCACUUUAAUGUUCCACUUUCUUAACUCGCAAUCAUUCGUAUAUGGUGGUAUUGUCGUCGUCAAUAAUAUUACAUAAGUCUUAACUCAGCAUAACUACCUACUCAUGUUCAAUGGUCAUUGACAUUGUCUUCGCACACAAUCAGGGACCGAAGUGAGGAGCAUAGUCCCAUGAGUCAAGAGUUAUGAGACAUCAUUUGUGACACCCCCAAUACGUCACAACUAAUAUGGAACUAAUAUGGCAGUUACCAUUUCCGUUUCGUUUUUUCUUAAACAUGUAAGGGACUAAAUUAAUCAUAGGGUACACCCGACUUUUCGUAAAUACGGCAAUUUCAUUUUUUAUAUGUACAUCAGAUGACAAGUGGGAUGCAUUAGGGGAAUUCAAAAGGUUAGUACUACUAACUACACUAUACGUCAGUCACCCAUUCCCACCUAGCUGCAUACGUGUUGCCUAACCCUGGCCUCUGACACUGUCAAAAUCCUCCCAACUCCAAAAAAACCUGCCUCCCUUCUAUGUUACGGGGCUACCUUCUUCUCUAGGCCCGUUGGAGAACAUUGAGAAUGGACCCACCAUGCGCCCAUUGACACGGGUGUACAUCCCGACGAACUUGGCACAUGGGCAGACAUCCCGAUGAACCAAGUCAAUAGGCGCAAGGUGGGUCCACUCCCACUAUUCUCCAACGUACAGUGUAGUCAGUAGUAUUGACAUUUUGAAUUUCCCAGUGCACCCCACUUGUCAUCUAAUGUACAUAUAUAAAUAAAUAAGAAAUGAAGUUGCCCUAUUUACAAAAAAAAAAAUUGCAUAUACCCCAUGAUUAAUUCAAUCCCUUAUGCUUCGGCAUGUUUAAGAAAAAACGAAACAUAAAAGGUAACUACAAUAGUGGUUUUACAUUAGCUGUGACAUACUGGGGCAUCACAGCUCAAAUGGUAUGAGAACCACCUGUGGGUUAUGGCCCCACCACAUUUCCGCCGCGCUUUUCUACUCAUGCGAGAUUUGAUCCGGAUAAAAACAAUAUCCGAAAAAUCGAGGUCUACGAACUUGUCCUCUUCUCACAUGAAGUCUAUUAGCACCCCGUAACAGACCAUCGGGGAGGUAGGUGGGAUCGAAAUUCUAUUAAUCUAAAAAUAUGAAGUCAACAAUCAGUGAGUCACAACCUAGCAGGCAGAAGGUCCACCGGUCUAUACUAUACAAAUCGAUCACCAUACUAACAAAGAAAGGCUCAACGGAGAGUUCAUUAAAUUGCAUGCAUAUCAACUUACCUGAGAACAUUUUCAAAAUACCUUAGACCCAUAAUGGUAAUAACUUUUUCCAACAGAUAGCUAGUAGUUCAAGUCAGAAAUACCAAAUUCAUAAUCAAUAUAAAUUCAUGUUGCCAUCAUCAUUCGGGGGAAUCCCAUUACCUCAUGGGCAUCUUGCACCCAUUCGGCAUCGCGAGGGCAUCUAGAGGAACCACAUUACACCCCCACACAUUUGGGGGAACUCAAUUACCCCUUUAGGCAUUUCUUCUAUAACCCGAGGCAUCGUUGUCCCAAGGACCGACGGCAUUUUCAGUCACACAUUUACACCAUAAUGCAACAAUUCUAUAAUUCAAUUGAAAGUAUGUUAAUGUCACUACUAUUUAGGAAUUCAAGCAUGCAUCUAAUGAAUCAUCAGUCGUUUUCAUCCCCAAGACUAAUAUAAACUCAUCCGUACAAGAGUUAAGUGAACGGUAAAGAAGUUCCUACAUCCUAGGCCUAAACUAGCCUUAUAGGCAUCCCACGUGCCUUUAGAUACAAUGGUUGUUGCCUACAUAAACUGUUUUAAAAAAUUAUGAAACUUUAAUAUGAGGUAGACAAGACCUUGAGGGACAUUUUCUGUGAGGACUCGUAGUCCGAUUCAGCUCAUACGGUUCUAAAUAAUUUUUGCAAUCCGGGCCCAAAACAAUCAAAAUUUCCAGAACGAAAUUGAGCAGGAAGAUAAAUAUUUCACCCACCAAAUGAUACCUAAAAAUUAUGAAAAUUUAAUAUGCGGUAGCCUAGAAUGUACUCUACAACUUUCAUGAAAGACACAUGUUAGAAUUAUGGACCGAAAAAUAUAUGAAAAAUGGAAAACGAAGAGAGGUCGGUGCAAUAAGUCCCAAAACAGAUUUUGAAUCCCAAAGUUUUCCAAAUAUAUUUUUGCCGUAUGAAGUCCAAAAAUUGUGAAAUUAAAUUAUGUUGUAGAACAGCCAAUAAGGGUUGAUUUUUAUGAGAAUUCCCCCAUGAAAUUUGUACCACAUAAGUUGGUACAAAAUUAGCAAAAUUCGUGGUCAGGCUAAAACCGAACCUGCCCUCAGUCCCAGCACGGAUUUAAUUCAGAAUUUCGACUAGCUCAGCCCCCGCAUGUGCUAAAUAUCGACCAACCAUGCUCCUACUAUCCAACCACAAGUUCGAUCAUUUCGAACUCAAUGAUGUAUCUAGGUAACGUGAUCGAAACUUCCGUUUAAACGAAAAUCUAAAUGACGUUCACGAAUUUUUUAGGAAACUAUUUUUGUCACAUGACAAACGAUAGGAUAGAACAGAUCUACUUACCUCAGAUCCUUGUGUAUGGCGGUCGUGACUCGGCAGGACAGAGGUGAGGUUGACGGCAGCGGCGUGCGUGGCUGCGAUGGGGAGGGACGGUUUUCGCUGCUGUGGUUGUGUUGCCGAGUGAGGUGAGGGACGGCUGAUUUUUUAGGAUGAAAGUGGAAGUAUGAGUGGUGUCUCGCUCUAUUUUCUCUUUGCUCUUUCACCGUCAGUGUAGUCUUCAUCCUGGGGCGGUAAUUGUUGACUUGACUCGGCUGUUUCAUUUCGUAAUUGAAGGUAGUUAUUUUUUUAAACCUUGGAAAUUCCUAAAGUUGUUGGGUGUAUUUGGAUCAGAAUAAUUUAUUUACGACGAGGUAGCAGCAGCGACUCGGUGAUGUAGAUGCGUCCUCGGAUGAGGUGGAAAUGGCGUCACUCGAUGAUGACACUGUGAGGAUGCGAAUGGCAUAAUCCAGCGACGAGCUUGCUAUCGUAGCAUGGACUGUCAAACAUUAGGGGCUCGCUAUUUUAACAAGUGAAAAAAUCCAGAUGUCACAUCAUUGGCAGGGACAACACCUUGCCACCCACAAACAAUGGCAAAUUAAGGAAGUGGAGCGGUGAGGCUCUAUACAUUCUUGUUAUGUCUGUUGAAAAUGAGUUGCUCAAGGUUGUGGCCACUCGGUUCUUGAGCUUGCGAUGGCUAUGACUAUUUACUCAAAACUCAAGCAUAGUGACCAGGGCAUCCUUUGGAGCGACCAUGACUACGCGCAAUGGAGUGGAUGAAAGGAACAAAUGAACAUGAUGUGGAAUUUGAAUCAUUAAUGGGAUCAUUGGACAAAAUUUUGAUGAGGUUAGAUUUGGGGGAAAUUAUGCAAAAAGUUCUAACACUUUAGUCAUUUCAGUUAUAAAUUUUUUAAUUUUGUUAAUUAAAUCCUAAGCUUUUUCACAUUUUGUCAAUUGAGUCUAUCUGAUCAAUUGUAAUCUAAAAUCACUUAUGUGAACGCCAAUUGUUUUAUGUAACAUGAUCGAUAUUGAGGUGAAUUUUUAUCAUUUUUUUAAAUUUCUGAAUAUUUUAUAAUUUUCUUUUUUUUCCUUUCUUACUUUUUCUUUUUUCUCUUCUAAGUCCAAUGAAGUUCGGUUAGCCCUUGCAUAUGACUGGCAAGGGUCGCAUGACCCUAGCAAACUUGACCUAAAAAAAAGGAAAUAAAAGAAAUAAAAGAAUAAUAUAUAUAUAAAUCAUCAAUGUUAACACUAGCUGUCCCACAUGGCAUUACUGGCACUCACAUUAGCGAUUACAUACUAAAAUUGAUUAAGUGAACUUGAUUGAGAAAAUAUAAAAAUGUUUAAGAUUUAAUUAAAAAGUUUAGGACUAAAUUAAUUAGAAUACAACAAGUUUAAGAUUUUUUAGACAACUUUCCCAUCAGAUUUGAGUGCUGACUAAAAGUUUGUGUGGGUAUACAUAUAUAUAGAGAUUUUGUGUUGACAAUUUUUCCAUUGGAUUUGAGUGCUAACUAAAAAUUUAUAAAAUAAUGUGCCAGAAUUUGGACUCACAAAAGAUUGAUAUAAUAUUUUUGAGGGAUCGGGCCCGUAAAAUAGCCACGCAAAAGAAAAAAAAAAUGAAUGUUUCGUGUCCGGAACAACAUUUGCUCAGAGCAGGGUGUCGAUGUCGGAAGCCACUUGGUCUCAAAAUAAACGCAAAACAGGAUAAGCAUGCGCGGCGAUCCGAUCCAGCGGGCCAUCGCGACGAACCGACGACUAUUCAUCCCCACUCCCAGCGGCCAAGUCAGAGGGAAAGAAUGAUGGUUGAACCGUACGUAAUGCUGACCCCAAGUUUCACGCCUCGAGUUCUCUUGCAGCGGAGCACUUUGGAAUUAGCCAGCAACCCCAGAUCCUAAACCAGUAACACCGCGCGUGCAGAUUACUUUAACAUUUUCUCUCACAGUUAAUUUGAUUUUUUUGCCCAAUACAAAAUGUGAAAAUUUAAUAGGGGAGACGAAUGAAAUCUGAAAAGAUUUGAAAUCGAGAACUGCAACUCUAAUAUUAUGUUAAAAUUUUGUCUAAAAAUUUAAGAUAUUAUACAAACACGUGAUUUAAUAUUUAACUACUUUAACGAGAUGAAAGAUAGUUAAGUUAGGUUGUACUAAGAUGGUGUAAUGAUUGUCUUUUUCGUAAACAUGUGAGGAAUGAGCUUACUAGUAGUUUAUUGCUUGACCCAAUUAUAUUUUUUUUAAAAAAAGAGGGAAGAUCUCCACACAGAUCAAGUGGCAAAGGAAAACAAAAGGUGUGGAUCAAAGUUCAGAAUUUAUAUUUGUAAGGCCACAACACCCGGUCUACUCUUGGCACGCCCAGCUUAUAGUUAUGAGAAAGAUGGAUGUAACUUGUACACGAGCCACAUAUGCAUUUUGCAACUUGAUGUUCAAUAUGUUUUCAUUUGGGGACACAGUCAAUAUACUCAUCCUCCAUAUGACUCGAUGGUGGUCGAUAGCUCUUAGAUGAUUCGAGUCCAACAAAUCAUAUGCCAAAUUGACCGAGUCAUGCCUAGACUUAGUGAAGACUAUUAUAUGAUCUAAGGAAGAUUGGUUUCGAGAUAGGCAGGUUCAAACCAAAAACUUGGAACUUUGUCCUCGAUCCUUAUGUGAGAUUUUGUGUUGAUCAUUUAAGAGAUUUGGGGAUGACUAUUUUAAAUUAGUUAGUAAUGAUUCUCACCAAAUCUCACAUAGCAUCAACGCUAUAAAUCCUGAGUUCGAAUUCUUCCAAAUCUCAUUUACCUUUUCAAUUAAAUUUUCAAGCUUAGUACUAAGUUUAAAAAAAAAAAAGACCAAAUUGAGCAUGCGGAGGAGUGUUGAAGUACUUAAAUAUAAAGACAUAUAUUCAUCUAAUAGUUUAAAAUUUUAGAACCGUUAACAGUGAUCAUCAUAAAAUCUUACACAUUCAAACGAUGAAGCAGACCAGUUCUCUUAAUAAUCAACUUGGAAUUGCAUUGGCCAGUUGUAGAGUCAAUCCAAAAAUCAUACUUUGGAAAAAUAUCAAAUCAACCAUGAAUGGGGGAAAUCUCUUUGUUUUGGUAAGAUUCGCUAACCUUACGGAAAUCAUUCCCCGGGGGCGAACUGCAAGUGGGUGGCCAAGUACUUCCACAAAUUGGCGUGAAGUUGCCUCUUGUGAAUGCCUAGCCUGCCUAGAGAAGAACCCUUCCGCAUUUGACAAGGCAUGCCAUAUGUGCAAGCGAAAGAGAACAAAAAGCAACCAAACAAGGACUCGAAAUGACAACCUUAAUCCACCCACCCCAAAAGGUCUAACGAGUGGACGAGAGCCGCCUACGGAAGACACUAUACAGAACGUAUGCGAAAUCGUACGCUUGGUAUCUGCCCACGUGCAGCAUGUCUGAAUAGUCUAUGAAUGAUCUCAUGUCACCUCCAUCAUGUUUACACUUGCGACGUAAUCUAGUCCCACCUGCCUGAAAAUCCAACUAAAACAGAACAGCCCACUGGUUUCGAGAGAUCGAAACAAUUAAUUUAUCAGAGGAAAAGCAGAGCAAGAAAGAAAUGCCAACUAAUAUUCUGUUGGAAAUUGUGAUCCAUUUUUUAAAAUUAUCUAGAAACUACUAAACCUUAGUAACAGCAUCCAUAUUGAAAAUUGUCUAGAAUGCAGCAGCAUUUAUGUUGAAAAUUGUCUAGAAUGGUUGAGAAUGGAGGUUACUAACUGAACCUAGAAGAUUUAUGUGGGAAUGCAAGUAAGCAUAAGCCAAGUUGAAGAAGAAAUCCUAGAACAAGCUAGAGAAGUCUACGUGCAUGGGAAAUCUUGAAAAUAAGUCAACAUUGGCUACUUAACCAUGAAGAAAGAAGGAUCAAUAGUACGUGGGUGGGCAGCAAGAAUACUUGGAGAAAAAGAAAAUUAAUUGUCUUACAGCUAUAUUAUGGCGGUGAAAAAAAAGUCAAAAUUAUCAUGCUUGUAAUAGGUGGAGUUGCUCUAUAAAUAGAGCCUAGAAUCAUUCAUGUAGCAUGAGUGAGUGGUGAACCCUCCACCUUGUGUGUGGAGGUGAAUCCUCCACAGUGAGAGGUCUUAGACCAUCAUGUGAGGGAGAUGAGUCAAUCAAACUAUUUUAUUCAACUAAUGAAACUAUUUCCCCAAUAUCUCAUGUCUUAUAUUUUUCAAUUAUCCUACCUUGUCCUUUGUCCGUCUUCUAUAAACUAUACUAUACACUUGUACACAUCACUAAUAAAAAACUAUCAUUAAUACCAAAACCAUGCUUCCAUACGCACACAUCCAAAAUUUUUAACAGAUUCAACAGAGCCUCGCCUUCUCGUCCCCUCUUCAGUUCUAUCGUCACUCUCUCUCUCUCUCUCUCCAGGUGGGUUCUUUGUUAUGUUCUUGAUCCGUCCGCCAGCUCUUCUAGUCUAAAGUUUUGAACUUUUUCCUGUUCAAUUUGUUUUUGCACUCGGGUUGUUGAGUGCUGAAUUGCGCUGGUUGGACCUUUUGAUCGUCAUUUGAUCGUCUCAGAUCAAUUAGGUAAUCGACCGAUUGCUCUGAAUCUGCGUUUCUUGCAGCUUUAGCUCGAUACGCAUCGGUUUGGCUGCGGAGUUCGUCGUUCUUGAGUCAGAUGGCCUCCGCAAUGCUCUCUUUCGCUUCGGCUGCGGCCUCGGCCCCGGCUUCACUGUUAGUGCACGAACAUCUCAAGGUACUUCUUAAUUUCGUUUUCUUGAACGUAGUGAUUUCAUCUCGUGGAUCUCUCUUCUGGUUUCUUUUGCGAUGGUUGAAUUCGCUGAUCUCAGAUCUCCGCGAAUGACUGGCGGUUUGCAAAGCUUAUGCAGACUCUAUAAGCCUCUGGUCGACACAAGCCAAUUGUUUUUCGCCACACGUGCCACUUGAUAUAAAUAAUGAACUUGAAAAUCUGAGUGACCCUAGAGUCUCACCAAGCUGUGCCAAGAGCCAUUUUCCAUCCGUAUAUGCCAUGCCAUUUCUGACCCAUUUGAACACCUUAAUGGAUAAUUAUAGGAAUAUAUAUACACUAAAAGUCCUAAAACUUAUCAAGAAAAGUGCAAUUGAGUCUUAAAAUUUUCGAAAAAUGCAAUUAAGUCUUAAAACUUGUCACGAAAGUGUAAUUGAAUCCUAAAAUUUUAAAAAGUGCAAUACAAUCCUAAAAUUUAUCAAAUUGAUCCAAUCAAAUCUUUUUAUUAAUUGUACAUUUUGAAAGUUUUAAAAAUUGACUGUACUUUCAUGACAAGUUUCAGAACUCAAUUAUAUUUUGUGAAAAUUUUAGAACUCGAUUACACUUUCGUGACAAGUUUUAAAACUUCAAAUUCGCUUAUCUCAUAAAUUAUAAUAACAAAAAAGAAUCACCUCCUUCACGCUCAAACUCUAUCCAAAUUGAACGAAAAAUGAUGGAAAAGUUCUUCACUAGUAGAGAUUGUCAUAAAAUUACGAGAAUCAUCAUUGCUUGCAGCUUCUGAUGUAUAAAGGCUGUAGCUUAGUUUGCAAGCAGGGUCGUGACUGAGUGAGAUUCCUCAGAAAUAAACUGUACCAGUAAUUCGUGAGAAUCCUCGUUGGCUACAGGGUUUUGAUGACUACCAUAGGUUGCAUGACAGGUUUGCAGCACUCCAGGUUGUGAUGAUGUUGUGUUAUGAUUUUGUCGAAUUCGCUUGGAUAUCCUGAAUGUCCCACCAUACUUUAUGUUCUUUUUCAUGUUUUUGGAUUUCGGUCUGCUCUAUAGCACUUAACCAGUUUCCCUCUAGUCAAAGGAAGGAUUCCCAUUUAGAAUUGCUACUCGUAUGGUCGCUCUAUCCUCCGGAAUCUCACCACNNNNNNNNNNNNNNNNNNNNNNNNNNNNNNNNNNNNNNNNNNNNNNNNNNNNNNNNNNNNNNNNNNNNNNNNNNNNNNNNNNNNNNNNNNNNNNNNNNNNCCGGCCCCAAACAACAUUGCUCUGAACCGGAGAGCGAGAGCACCACCUUCUCUAUCAUUCCCAGUUUUUCUAGAAGUCGUCGUCUCCAGAAUUUUCAGAAGAAAAAUCAACUGCUAAGUGAGCAAGUUGAAGAGAGGCUCCAGUUCACUUCUCCAAGUGGUCACUCUGGAAUUGCCCGGAGACAAGAUCAGUCAAAGCCAGCUGUUAUGAAAUGUAAUCUGGAAAAUUAAGUAUGGAGACUUCCUCCAAGCAAGUGCUCUUUGGGCUGUUUAGUUCGGCUUUGGGUAAAAGGCAUUGGGAAAAUGCAAAUACCUUUCGGUAAAGGGGUUUUCGGAAAUAUUAUACCAUUUAGUAAAUUAUAACUUCAAAUAGCAUUGGAAAAUAGCCUGCAUAAACACCAUUAGGUAAAACCCACAUUUAAAAUGGGCUUUUGCUAUUUUUCUUUUUCUUUUUUAAAUAUGAAAAUUAAAUCUAGUUAGGGCCAGCCGUCUAACCACCUCCAGCAGCUAGAUUUGGCCGUCCAACUACCAAAUUUGACUUCUGGACGGCCAAAUCCAGCCAUUCGAUUGCCAGAACUAACGACCUAAGGUCGUGCAACCUCAAGUGUCGCUUGGAUCGCGACCUCAAGCCAGCAACCCAAGCAACGCCACCUAAGGUCGGGCAUUUAGGCAAUCGCCUGAGUCGCGGGUCGCACCACCAAGGCGAUGGUCGCCGGGGACGUGCGACCCUUAGGUGGCAGGUGAUGGUCGCCAAAGAAGCCCAACUCAAGCGACAGAUUGGGAGGAUGAACAGCUGUGAUGAAGGAGAAAGAAGAUGAACAAUGACAGGUAAACUGUAAAUUUAUCAUUUUCAAAACGCUAAAAACUCAAAGUAAGGGCCUGUUUGGUUUGGCCUUGGGGAAAUGCCUUUGGCCAAAUGCAAAUAUCUUUAGGGUAAAGGGAUUUUCGGGAAUGCUCGAACGUUUCACAAAUUACGCAUUGGAAAGUGGCUUGUGUAAAAUAGCGUUUGGCAAAACUUAUUACAAAUGGGCUUUUUCUUUUAAUUUUUUUUUUUAAAAAAAUCUGAAAAUCAAAUCCAGCGGCCGCGCGGUGCCGAACGGCCAAAUUUGGCCGCCUGAGGUCGCGACCUCAAGCGAUGCCAUUGCCGCGACCUCAGGCGCCUAGAGGUGCAGAGGCCAGAUCUGGCAGCCUGAGGUCACGCGGACCCAAGCGACGGGACCUCAGGCGACGUCGUUGCUGCCUGGAGGCGCGACCUCAGGCACCUGAGGUCGUAAAGGCCAAAUCUAGCGGCCUGAGGUCCGCGCCACCUGGGUCAUGCGUCACGCCACCCCCAAACGGUGGUCACCAGGGACGUGCGACCCUCAAGUGGCAGUGGCGGUGGCUGCCGGAGAAGCCUGGUGGCUGGGAAGAAGAAGAAGAAGACAAUCGGGAAAGAGAAAGAUGAAUAGUAGGCGUGGCAUUUCCCAAAUGCCGAAUGCUCAAUGCUGCCCUUCCCCAGCUUUCAGCAUUCAGCAUUCGGAAUACUCAUAUUUGGGCAAAAGAGCUUUCAAAAACUUUGCCAAACACCAAAAAUUUUCCCCAAGGGGCUUUGGGGGCCCAAAGCCCCUUGGGAGUGCCCAACCAAACGGGCCCUAAGUCCCUACUUACAUUGGGCUUUCAACAUUUGGAAUGCUAGCAUUUAACUAAAGAAGUCUAAAACAUACUUAUCAAAUGCUUUGUAUUUUCCCCAAGAAGCUUUGGAGGCCCAAAGCCUCUUGCAAAUGCUCCACCAAACGAGGCAUUUGUGCAGGUGUUUGGAAAAGCAAGAGUAAGGCAAACACUUGGUGAUAGUACUGUGUGAGAGUCAGUCUCCAAAUGUUGAAAAGGACGAGUCCUCCGUGUGGAGUCCACAAAUAAUACAUUGUGUGAGUAGUGUCGGUUCUUAUAAUAAUAAAAGAGUGUUCAUUUGAAUUAUCCAAUUGAGUCCAACAAGCAGUACCAAAGCAAGCAGUCGAGGACCGACGACCCAACAAUUGGAGCGUGGUACGCAAAGACCGUGGUCAAGGAACAUUGUAUGUAAAUAUUGGCUUAAUGUCAUAUUUUGUUGCAACACCGAUGCUCUCUCUAACCUUUGCAACUUGGCAUCGUUAGAACCGCCAAGCUAUCCCAUGCCACCUUUGGGGUCUUCGCAUUCUUGAUGUGCUGUAACAACUCAUCUUCAACAGUCACAACAAGUACGUAUAGCAUAUCAUCUACUUUGAUUUUCCACUUUCUUAACUCGCAAUCGUUCGUUUCGGUGGCAUGACUACCUACUCACGUUCAAUGGUCAUUGACAUUGUCUUCGCACACAGUCAGGGACCGAAGUGAGGAGCAUAGUCUCAUGAGUCAAGGGUUAUGGGACAUCAUUUGUGAUGCCCCCAAUACGUCACGGCUAAUAUGGAACUACUAUGACAAUUACCUUUUUCAUUUCGUUCUUUCUUAAACAUGUAAGGGAUUAAAUUAAUCAUGUGAUACACACAAUUUUUAAUAAAUAGGGCAAUUUCAUUUCUUCUUCUUUUUUAUAUAUGUACAUCAGACAACAAGUGGGGUGCAUUGAGGAAAUUCAAAAGGUCAGUACUACUAACUACAUUAUACGUUGUUCACCCAUUUCCACCUAGCUGUAUGCGUGUCGUCUAACCCUAGCCCCCGACACCAUCAAA